UACGUGAGGGUGCGAGCGUUGUUCCGGAUUUAUUGGGGCGUAAAGAGCUCGUAGGCGGGUUCGGCAAGUCAGCUGUGAAAAUCUCCACGCUCAACGUGGAGGGGUCAGCUGAUACUGCUGUGACUGAGUCCGGUAGGGGAGUGUGGAAAUUCCCGGUGUAGCGGUGAAAAUGCGCAGAUAUCGGGGAGGAACACCAGUAGCGAAAGGCG
rnacentral:rRNA from 1 species